rnacentral:rRNA from 1 species
UGGGGGAUAUUGCACAAUGGGCGAAAGCCUGAUGCAGCGACGCCGCGUGGGGGAUGAAGGCUUUCGGGUUGUAAACCUCUUUCGCUAUCGAACAAGGCCCGCUUAGGGUGGGUUGAGGGUAGGUGGAGAAGAAGCGCCGGCUAACUACGUGCCAGCAGCCGCGGUAAUACGUAGGGCGCGAGCGUUGUCCGGAAUUAUUGGGCGUAAAGGGCUUGUAGGCGGCUUGUUGCGCCUGCUGUGAAAACGCGGGGCUUAACUUCGCGCGUGCAGUGGGUAGGGGCAGGCUUGAGUGUGGUAGGGGUGACUGGAAUUCCAGGUGUAGCGGUGGAAUGCGCAGAUAUAUGGAAGAACACCGAUGGCGAAGGCAGGUCACUGGGCCAUUACAGACGCUGAGGAGCGAAAGCAUGGGUAGCGAACAGG